AUUGGGGCAUGUUGGUAAACUGUUAACUCCCAUAGUCUCAGUUUAGUAUUUGGACCAUAUAUGCUCAGAUUUGCAUGACCAAGUGCCUAGUUUAUCGUUAAUCAUUUAUUCAGUUAUACGAAUUAUUUUAGCACAUGUUUUACUUGAUCUUGCAUUCAUCUUAAAUAUUCAUGCAUUCAUGCUCAACACUUAUAUGUAUUUCAGUUGUCCCUAUCUCACGUACCAGUACAUUCAAAGUACUAAUCGCAUACUCUCUUUUGCUCUAUGUUGUCUUAUAACAUAGGUUCGGACGCAUAAUUUCCUGAUCACCCUUAAUCAGUUCAGGUUCCACUCAAUAAUAGUUGUGGCGAGUCCUUAUUCUUCGAGAAUGAUGUUAUUUACUGUUAUUUUCAGUACUUUUUUUUAUUUUAGUCAGUCGGAGUUAGUUGUGGGUUUUUCCCAUCAACUCCUCGUGUUUUAGAGGCUUUCAUAUAGUCAAUUUGUUUUCAAUUUUUAUCAGCAGUCCAAACAUGUUGGGU
rnacentral:lncRNA from 1 species